rnacentral:lncRNA from 1 species
UUACCUCUCUACCCUUGAGUGCUAGUGCUCUUGCAACUGCUAUUCCAACCACACCAGCUCCUAUCACUAUACAAUCAACUUUCUCCCUUGGGACAGAGUACGAGGUUGUUGUGUCAUUUUGUGUGUUACUGCUGAUGUUUCUGACCCAAUUCCUAAAUAAGUUGUUCCAUUUCAAAUGAACAUCGCAUGUUCUUGAUGAUGAUGAUGUGAAUUUUUGUUCCAACGUAUGAAUUGUUUUCUUCAACAUUCUAACUCACCUAGCUGUAGAUUUGGUUGUUACUUUUUUCAAUUGUGUAUGUUUGUUGAUUGAGAAUCAUGAUCACGGAAAUGAUGAAUAAUUAAGGACUGUUUGAUUACGAUUGUAAUGUAUUUUAUUU